UCUUGAAUAUAUAGACGUAUAGAGUUAGACAUAUUUUAAUCAAGUAUAACGAGCGUUGAUCAAAUUCAUUUCUACCUUGUAAUAUUUUCAAAACAUUUUCCGCCGCAACUUGUGCCGCCGUAUAACCUUGAAGAGAUACAAUGGAAGGAUCGAUGUUGUGCGACGUCGAUAGCGCUCUUGCUGUGACAAUUUAAUUGAGUUGGAUCUGCACCUUCGCUUAAAAGUAAAGAACACACUUCUGCUCUGGACUUACUAGCGGCCUCAUGCAGCGGAGUAAACGCCCAUAAAUCGCUAGCAUUCACAGCAGCUCCGUGUUUAAGAAGUGCUUCCGUUACUUCGAAAUGUCCAUAAGAGCAAGCGUUGUGCAGCGGGACAAGACCUCUGUCGGAUAAAGUCUCCGUGUUCUAAGUCUCCUUCCUAAAUAUAAUUUACUAAGAGCUACAA